CAACUGUCAGCUGGGGGCAGCUGGAUCGUAAAUUUCUAACCGAAGAUCAGCAACCCAUCUUGUCCCAACCGUCGAAAGCCAUGGAUGUCGCUGUCGGCCACCAGGCCGCCCUCCCUCCCCCCAUCGCCCACUCCGCAGGGCCCCUCCCUCUCCGAGGCACGAAUGGCUACGAGUACUUCACAAGGGCGGAGCUCCGCGCGCCUUACACUGCUCCGUCUGACGCGGCGGGGCGUCCACCUCUGCGGCGGCCACGCCGGGGAGUGACAAGGCGCUGCCGCCCGCCAGGUGUUCGACGAUGAAAUAUGAUGGUGCCUCUGGAGGAAGUGAUGAAGAGGGUGUCGGUUCAUUCAUCGUAGCUUGCAGGACACCCCAUGCCUCUUUUGCAAGAUCAGGGCGCUCCUUUCUCUCAUACCGACAGCAUUUCAGGGCUAGGCUUGCCAACUCUUCAGCGAACUCAGGAGGCCAGCCCCCUGCUGAGGUGUCAAGUAUUUCAUGCAACACCCCACUGUUCAAGGCUGCCUCCACCUCACUCUGAAGGCCUAGGGGGCUCUUACCAGUUAGCAAACGCAGCAGUACAACUCCAAAGGAGUAGACAUCAUACUGCGCUGUGAGCUCCCCUGAAGUAAUGUACCCUGGAUCCAUGUAUCCUAGUGUGCCUUUUAUUUGAUCCGUUCUGUGGUAAGGGGUGACAGUGGUGUUUGUCAGAUUUAAGGAACGAGAAAUUCCAAAGUCCCCCAGCUUGCCUACAAAGUUAGCAUCAAGGAGGACAUUGUCAGGUUUCAGGUCACCAUGGGCGAUGCUUUUUGGUUUGUUGGAGUGGAGGAAGAUAAGUGCUGUGCAGAUGUCAGCUGCAAUUCUGAUGCGCAUUCUCCAUGGGAGUGGCUCGGUGUGCUGCUUGCAUUGGAGGCGGUCCUCUAGGCUUCCGUUUGGCAAGAAUUCAUAAACCAGCACUUUUGGAUCUUUGCACACUCCUAUAAGAGUGACAAGGUUCGGAUGUCUCAUCCUACAUAGAAUUUCGACCUGUAUUAUUUACAAAAAUCACAGGUUUAGACACA